rnacentral:ncRNA from 1 species
CUCUGGGUCGCUAACAAAGAUCCAGGGCAAAAGAG